rnacentral:rRNA from 1 species
UACGUAGGGUGCGAGCGUUAAUCGGAAUUACUGGGCGUAAGGCGUGCGCAGGCGGUUUUGUAAGCCAGAUGUGAAAUCCCCGGGCUUAACCUGGGAAUGGCAUUUGGGACUGCAAGGCUGGAGUUUGGCAGAGGAGACUGGAAUUCCUGGUGUAGCAGUGAAAUGCGUAGAUAUCAGGAGGAAUACCGAUGGCGAAGGCAGGUCUCUGGGCUAUAACUGACGCUCAUGCACGAAAGCGUGGGGAGCAAACAGG